UUUAAUUUAGCUAUGGCCAGAGUGACUUUACCAUUAGGACCUGUGUUUUCUGGAAUGUAAGUGCAACAAGUCAUAGUGUCGGGAAGUAUUUUACAGACUCCCCUUUUUCGGCUAAGAUCAUGUCUAAGGCCAGUCUGUUCUGGAAGGUCAUUUGGGAUGUGGCCUGUAAUUGCUCGGCCAAGCCCUGGAGGGCAUCCCUGGUGUAGUUCACGAAGCGCUGUUGGUUGUAAUAGAUAGAAUUAAUCCAAUUAAGGUUUUUGUUGGCAGUGACUAUGGUAAAAAGUGAUUCAAAACCUGCAGCUACUUCAUCUCUAGCUUUAAAUUCAUUAGGUACCCCCCUAGGCACCCCAAUGGCAUCUAUGUAAAUGUGUGGGUCAAAACUGCCUUUUAC